UCUCCGGGUUCUGUCGCCCCGGUCUUUGGCUGCAGCUGUAGGGUCGGACUACAAAGCCCAGGAUGCGUCGCGGUCCCUCCUUUGAGGCCCCUCUGCUUCCGGAGAUCGCCUCAGCGUGGUCCCAGAGAGAAGGGGGAAGGGCCUUAAUCACGCCAGCGACGAGGCGACCAAUGGUGGCUGAGAUGGGCGGGCUGUGGAAGUCGCGGGCUCAGGCCUCUCCCCGCCACUGAAAGAACUGUAGAUGUUCUCAAAUGGUCCUGUUUGCCCACAGUUUUAUUGGGUGAGAGUCAUGAUUUCCGGUUGGACAUGGCUUCAAAGAGUGUUCAGUAUCUAAUAUGGGUUCACCUGCUGUUUUUCUUUUGCUUCUUCACCUCGAAUCUCGAGGGGGUCCCACAUGGCUGUCCCAGCCCCCACGAAGCUGGAGUCAGAGAGGUGGGGGGCAGGUGGGCAGAUGGCCUUAGGAACACUGGCGGCAGCCGCACUCUAAGUGUCUUUCCACCUCUUCCACGAACGAGGAGCCGUCGGUGCACUGGAAGACGUAUUUCCGCCGCUUGCUGCGGGUGGGCUGGCAGCACUGGGGCCCACAGCCCCCACGACAUUCCAUGAUGGGCACUCUGGAGGCUGUGGCACACGAGGCAUAACCUUUCUGGCGGCGGAUCACCUCUCGGACUACCUCCCCCAGGCACGGGCUCUCUGCAGAGGGUGGAAGAGGUUACCAGCCUCAGAGAAGACUGAAUGAGAAAAGGCUUUAUGCAUUUUAAUGAAUUUUGCCUGGGAAUUUCCAGGAGGGCAUACUUACACUCCAGAAAAUGCUGAUCGAGCAAUUCAAUUCAGGUUGGAUGAGAGUGCCGGUCCCCACAUCUUGUGUCAUCAGAAUCAUCUGGGAUAAAUUUGCAAAUGGACAAAACGUGGCACAGACAUAUAAUGGAAUAUUAUUCAGCCUUAAAAAAGGUCAUUCUGACGCCUGUUACAAGGUGGAUGAACCUUGAGGACAUCAAGCUAAGUGAAAUAAGGCAGUCACAAAAAUGUAAAUACUGUAUGGUUCCACUUACAUGAGGUACUCAGAGUGGUCACCUUUAAAUUGGGUCAGGAAGUAGAAUGGGGGUUACCGGGGGCCAGGGGUGGGGGCUUGGGAAGGGAGUGUUUAAUGGAUGCAGAGUUUCAGUUUUGCAAGACUCAAAAGCUCUGGAGAUGGAUGGUGGCGUUGGCUGAGGACAGUGCAAGUGUCCUUACUGCUGCAGAGCUGCACGCUUCCACAUACUGCAGGUGUAACCCUGCAUUACAGGCCUCAUGUAGAUGGUCUCGACCAGGGUUGGAAAAACUGGACUUCUUCAUGAUUCCUUCUCAGAGACCGUGACCAAGGGCCAUUUGCAUAGUUGGGUUUAUGCCAUGCAGUGAGUACUAAGCCUAAAAAGAAGAUCCCUGCUAGUGAGGCCAUGUGACUACCCCCACCCUGUAAGCUGAGCUCCGAGAUAGUAGCAUCUCCCGUUGGAAGGAAUCAUGCCCAAGCUUGACAUCAUGUGAGCUGGAUCCUAAGUCCAAC